UGGGGAAUCUUCCGCAAUGGACGAAAGUCUGACGGAGCAACGCCGCGUGAGUGGAGAAGGUUUUCGGAUCGUAAAACUCUGUCUUUUGGGGCGAACGUGAGUAUGGUGAACAAUCAUAGUCAGUGACGGUACCAAAGGAGGAAGCCACGGCUAACUACGUGCCAGCAGCCGCGGUAAUACGUAGGUGGCAAGCGUUGUCCGGAAUUAUUGGGCGUAAAGAGCGCGUAGGCGGGAUAGUCAGUCUGUUGUAAAGUGCGGGGCUCAACCCCGUGAUGGCAAUGGAAACAGCUAUUCUUGAGUGCAGGAGAGGAAAGUGGAAUUCCCAGUGUAGCGGUGAAAUGCGUAGAUAUUGGGAGGAACACCAGUGGCGAAGGCGACUUUCUGGACUGUGUCUGACGCUGAGGCGCGAAAGCCAGGGGAGCGAACGGGAUUAGAUACCCCGGUAGUCCUGGCCGUAAACGAUGGGUACUAGGUGUAGGAGGUAUCGACCCCUUCUGUGCCGCAGUUAACACAAUAAGUACUCCGCCUGGGGAAGUACGAUCGCAAGAUUAAAACUCAAAUGAAUUGAC
rnacentral:rRNA from 1 species